rnacentral:lncRNA from 1 species
GGCGUUAAAAAAUGAACGAUAUUCAUUUGAUAACAGUAAAUUGUUGAAAAAUACACUUGCUACUACGAUCAAAACCCAGGAUUCUUACAUAAGGUGUAAUUAAGAUAGAAAUACUGAUAGCAUCUAUUCACUGAAGAGAAGCCGACAAAUAUGGCCUAAUGUUAACUUGGGGUAAGAUAAAUGGGUAUACAAGAGUAUACAUUGUACAUGAGGUAAAGAUAAGGUAAAGGCCUCCUUUUUUCUCAAAUUCUCAAAACGAAUAAAAUCAAGAAAUAUUUAGAAGUUUUAUUUUAUUUUGAAUAUAAAGAGGUUUCUAAAAUAUGUGAUAUAAGUAGAAAUGCACACAUUCGUAACCGUCGCUUCGUUUCACCUGUUAUGUCUGCCUCUCUCUCUCUCUCUCUCUCUCUCUCUCUCUCUCUCUCUCUCUCUCUCUCUCGUCAGUAAAUAUUUGCAUUAUUGAAGAUAUAUAUUUUUACAUACUGUAUCUCAGUUUUCUACAAAUAAUAAAAUCAUCGUUUUAUUACAUUUAUUUCUGUAUCUUAGGAAGUUUUGAUACAUUUGAGGACUUUUGUAGGUCGACCGUGGGGAAAUCUUUUGCUUCUACACUUCCGUGUUUGUAAACUGUUUUAUGAUGAUGGACUUUAAAGUUAUGGUUGGGGAAUUCUAUUGCUUUAAAACUUCUAUGUUUGUAAUCUCUAAUUAAAGCAGAAAAAGUUCCGGUCCUGCUCAGAGAUAUAUCACUCCGAGCUUUUGAAAUUACAUACUGUUGAUGCAUUUUAUGCUCCGAAUAUUUCUUGGAUCAAGUUCUUCGGAUAAUAUAUCUAUUUCUUGUUUCA